AUGUGUAUCCUGCAUACCUGCACACUCACAUACACAUAUCAAAUACAAGGGUGAACCUAAUUUAAACCCUUUGCCCAAACACCAAAACAUAUAGUCGUACGGACCAUUGGGAUUGCUCCAACACCAAGUUCCUUCUCAUUUGAUGCACACACAUCUUUUUUUCCUUCCCAAUAUGUUAUAAUGAAGAUUGAUUGAAACAGAGACUCAUGCUUGCUAACUUGUAUCUACUACAUUGUUGCAUUUAAAUCUACUAGUACACGGAUAUAUAUUCUAAUAACAUUGAGAUUUUUUUUUUUCAUGCUCUUUGUUGAUAUCUUUAGGCAUAAGCUAUGUGCUAAGUAAAAUGGUUUCCUGAAAUUUGAUUAAUGUAAGCAUAUUAUUUUAAAAAUUCUUGAUUGAAGUACAACUAAGGGGCCAACCAUAAAGAUAUUUGUAAAACAUUUCCUUCUAUAUCAUGGUCCACUAAGUUAUUGUUAUUACUAUUUGAUUUGGUCAUCAUUUUUCUAGAAGUAUGAUAGUAGUACUGAUUAGAUAUUUUUGAUUGAAGCAGCUAAAAAUUUGACAAAUUAUUAAAUAUUAGAAAUUGAAAUUGAAAUAAGUUGUAUUUUUUAUCAAAUAGUUCAAUACUUGUAAUUUUGAGUUUAAAUUGAAAUAAGAUGUAGUUUUUAUAUAUUUAUCUAUUUAUCUAUUCUCAAAUAUAAUGUGACAUUCCCAGAAAUAGAAGAAAAUAGAGUUGAUAAUCAGGAAUAUAUUCCCCAAGUUGCAGAUGAUCGAAAACCAAAAAUUGAGAUGAAAUUCUCAUCACUAGAGGAGACAUAUUUGUUCUAUAACCAAUAUGCACGAGAAGCCGGAUUUAGUUCACGGAUAAACACAAGCAAGAAAAAUAAGAUGACAAAUGAAGUGAUGUGGAAACAAAUUGUAUGCUUUAAAGAAGGAUAUACAAAUCUAAUACGGAAUGCUAAACAUACAAAAUCUGAUCAACUGAUAAGGGAAAGAGCACGUGGCACAAUUAGAACGGGUUGUAAAUCAAAUAUUGUAUUUGUCAAGAAAUAGACAGGACCUAGUUGGGUUGUAAGUAACUUCAUAAAAACACAUAAUCAUCCACUCUCAACUCCAUCAAAGGUGCAUUUGCUACGCUCACAUCGUAAUAUUUCGGCAGCCAAGAGAACAUUGACUAAACAGUUUUCAGAGGCCAAUGUACCAACUUGUCAACAAAUGAGAUUAUUAGAGAUAGAGUAUGGAGGGCCUGAGGGGGUAGGUUGUACAGAAAGAGAUAUUAGAAAUUUUGAAAAAAAACUAAGAGAUGAACAAAAGGGUAUUGAUGCCGAAACAUUGAUUGAGUUAUUUACAUCUGAGCAAGAGAAGAAUUCAGCUUUUUUUCUUUGAUUAUAAGACUGAUUCAGAUAACAAAUUUAGUAAGUGUUUUUGGGUUGAUCAUGUAUCAAGGAGGGUAUACAGUGUAUUUGGUGAUAUCGUUGUAUUUGAUACGACAUAUAACACCAAUAAAUAUGGCCUAAUUUUGACAUCAUUUGUAGGAGUUAAUCAUCAUCAUCAGACAAUUAUUUUUGGUUGCGGGUUUCUUAGUGAUGAGAAAACUGAGUCUUUUGUUUGGUUACUUAAGAAGUUCAUAGAAGCUAUGCCUAAAGGUCCGCCAAAUGUUAUCAUCAUUGAUCAAGAUCCUGCUAUGACGAAAUCCAUUGCACAAGUUUUCUCUCAAACAGUGCAUCGAUAUUGUUUGUGGCACGUACUGAAUAAAUUCCCAGAUAAAUUACACUCUUUGACUUUUCAAAAUCACUAUUAAAGCAUAAAGAAUGUUAUUGUAAAUUCUACAACACCUGAUGAUUUUGAGAAGUCAUGGGGAGAGGUUAUCAAGUGUGCUAACUUGGAGAAAAAUGAUUGGGUGUCAUCGAUGUAUAAAUUGCGACACAAGUGGGUGCCAUUAUAUUUUAGACAUAUAUUUUGUGCUGGAAUGUCAAGUAGUCAGAGAUCUGAAAGCUCACAUUCAUUUUUUAAGAGGUAUAUUUCAAAUAAGAAUUCAUUGAUGGAUUUUAUCACCCGUUUUAAUAGAGCACUGAGACACCAAAGACAUAAUGAGUUAAUUGCGGAUCAUAUUGAUAUGAAUGAGCAUCCCAAGAUUAAGAUAAACUAGCCAAUGGAAACUCAAAUGGUUAAGUUGUACACAAAAAAGAAAUAACUGGAGUUUCAAAGUGAAGUGGGUGAGAGUCAUGGUUAUUAUGUGCAAUAAGCAUUUGCAGGAGUUGACUCAGUGGUUUACCAUGUGAUGAAAUUUCAAAGUUGUUCUUCCUCCAAACCAAAGGUUCUCACCCAUGACAAACAGAGGGAUUAUAUAUCGUGUAGUUGUACGAAAUUUGAGUUUGAGGGCAUUCCAUGCAGGCAUUGUUAGCAUUUUUUUGUAUCAAUCAAGUGUUUUAUUUGCCUAAUACGUAUAUACUCAAACGAUGGACACAAGAUGCAAAGGUUUGAUAAAUCUUAUUUUUGGGGGAGCAAAAAGAUCCAGAUCCAGAAAGGUUUUUGAUGUCGAGACACUCGAGAUUAUCCUAUAAAGCUUCAUUAUUAAUUGAUAGUGCAUCUUUAACUGAUGAGGGGACAAACUUCUUAGAUGAAUAAUUUGAUUGUAUCUACAACAAAAUUCAAGAGAUGAACAUUAUUAAACCAUGUGGUGAUGGAAGUAAAAGGAAGAAAUCCAUAGAUGAGGGCCUUGGUAUUAUUGAUCCUUCUUCAGUAAGAACUAAGGGAUGCGGGAAGAGAUUGAAAUCAUCAAAGGAGAAGUCAAUCUCAAAGUCCAGGAUAUGUUGUGGAUGUGGAUAUCGAGGUGUGUCACAUGACAAGCGCAACUGCCCAAUUUUACAACAAAGAUCAACUAAAGAUAAUCAUCAUAACAACAUUGAUGACACAAAUGAAACAAAUUUGACAUCUAUCGCUGAUUCUAACAACAUGCACUAGGAUAUUUAUAAUCAGAAGUUGGUGUUGCGGAACUUGAAGUUGCAGUUGAGAAAAUAGCACUCACUUCUGACUUUUUUAUUUGGUGUCCCUUUUGGAACUUUUUCAUAGUGGUGUGUUUGAAGUUAAUUGCUCGAGGAUGUAAAAGUUCAGAGUAUCAUAGUUCCGGGUUGACCCGACCCAUUUAUUGAUCACUUAAGCUGGUGCGGCCCACUGGGGCGGGCCAGACGACUGCACAGUUGACAUUUGGAUCACACAAAUCCCAGAAUUGGUUUCUCAGUCGCCGACAUUUUCUUAUUCGCUGGAGAGUGGUCUUCGUCGAAGCUUGCUGGCGGAGAUAGGCCGAUCUAAUUUUCCCGACCAGGACGAUCUGUGCUCUGGGUCUCGCACAGCGAAUUGAUGCGACGAUCGAAUGCACGGGCAUUGACAGUCGACCCGAUCGACCUCCCGCACAAUGAGCAUACUCAAGCCCCAUCAGCUCCGUCGCCCUUCGCCUCGCGCACAUUCUCCUUCCUGUACCCCUCGCGCUUCAAGCAUCUUCGCCGUGCCGAAGGUGGCGCCUGCCUCAGCGCAUCCCUGCCCGGAUCCAUUCUCGCCGCCGAGCUCUUCUGCCUCUCCAUCGCCUGAAUAAGCCUACUAUUAUGCUUGGAUUAGAUGAUGGAAAAGUAGACUGCCGUUAACUUGAACUAAAGAAUUUCAUUGAAAUGCAAACUAUCAACAUUGCUGUGUUUGCAUGAAAAUAUGAAUCUUUUCAUAGAGAUUAGCGUUCUGUAUCUUGAUCUACAUUCAUUUCAUCGUGCUGAUUUUGUUGUGGUACCAGAAAUUGUUGUCGGAAAUAGGGGAAACUAAAUCACAAUGAUUCAUUUCUUGGAAUCUCUUGUUCAUUGACUUUAUUUAAUCGUUGAAAUCAGAAUGGCAUUGUUUAGUUA